GGACCCUCACCUUCCUUCCUAUCCAAAGGAAGGGAAGGGAAGGGGAGGGGAUGCCCCAGAUCCAGCAGAGCGACGCCCAAAUCCGCAGCGGCACCGGCACCGGCGCGCCAUUGUCCACCUGGUCCUCGAGGAAGGUCAUGGAUGGAUGGGGGCGGAACCCUAGCCCCACACCCACCCAUGGAUGACGACGGCGGCGGCCUUCUCUAGGUGGGAUGGGGAGCGAAGCUUCCUGAUGCAGUGCCCUCAACGCCCGCGACGGGCUGCAGCACCUAGACUUGAAAGAAUACAUGUCAUCGCUUCUUCAAGUGAAGGUCGUCCUAGUGAAUGGUGUCCCUUGUUUAACAUCAUCCGGGUGCAGGCCACAUAUUCGGUGCAUCUAGCACGCAUAACCGGUCCAUCGCUAUGCCUA